rnacentral:rRNA from 1 species
GACGAACGCUGGCGGCGUGCCUAAUACAUGCAAGUAGAACGCUGAAGAGAGGAGCUUGCUCUUCUUGGAUGAGUUGCGAACGGGUGAGUAACGCGUAGGUAACCUGCCUGGUAGCGGGGGAUAACUAUUGGAAACGAUAGCUAAUACCGCAUGAUAUUAAUUGUUGCAUGAUAAUUAAUUGAAAGAUGCAAUUGCAUCACUACCAGAUGGACCUGCGUUGUAUUAGCUAGUUGGUGAGGUAACGGCUCACCAAGGCGACGAUACAUAGCCGACCUGAGAGGGUGAUCGGCCACACUGGGACUGAGACACGGCCCAGACUCCUACGGGAGGCAGCAGUAGGGAAUCUUCGGCAAUGGGGGGAACCCUGACCGAGCAACGCCGCGUGAGUGAAGAAGGUUUUCGGAUCGUAAAGCUCUGUUGUAAGAGAAGAACGAGUGUGAGAGUGGAAAGCUCACACUGUGACGGUAUCUUACCAGAAAGGGA